UACGUAGGGUCCGAGCGUUGUCCGGAAUUAUUGGGCGUAAAGAGCUCGUAGGCGGUUUGUCGCGUCUGCUGUGAAAUCCCGAGGCUCAACCUCGGGCCUGCAGUGGGUACGGGCAGACUGGAGUGCGGUAGGGGAGACUGGAAUUCCUGGUGUAGCGGUGAAAUGCGCAGAUAUCGGGAGGAACACCGGUGGCGAAGGCGGGUCUCUGGGCCGUAACUGACGCUGAGGAGCGAAAGCAUGGGGAGCGAACAGG
rnacentral:rRNA from 1 species